AAAUGCACCGUGUAUUAGAAAUGUGGCACAUCCCACCUGGGACUGCAGUUCAUGAAAUGAGGAGGGAAAGUGACCCUGAGACCAUCCUCAGAAUUAAUUUUCUCUCUUUUGGUACCAGCAGCCACCCUCAGGGGAAAAUCGGCCACCAUUUUUCUGAGAGAUUACCAGUAUAAUGUCAUAUAUAUGAGUGCAGAAGGAAAAAGAAGUUCCUGAAACCAUUUCUCAUUUAACCUAUGGUCUGUAUUGGUCCAGCUGAAGCUGGUAUCUUCUACUGCACCUUCAUCACCAACCCCGAGCUCUCUGUACGCCUGCGCCGCUGCCGUUGUUGCUGUAUUGGGAUGGUUUCCCUGCAAAGCCGACAGCAAAGGACCGUCUCUGGUCAGCUUUGCAGAGCCUCUUUGCAUUGCGUCCUGUAGGGGCCUGAGACUCCCCCCGUGGGCGGGAAUUUUGUGUGGUUGCUCAUGAGUUUUACUUAGGUUUCAGCAACUGACCUUCUGGGGCAGGGCCAUGGCGCGCAGGGGCAGGAGUCAAGAGCCUGUUUGUCCCUCGGCAGUACCACUUAGAAGUUAUAGCGCUUUAAAUCUUCAACAAGUGGCAAGCUGUGAUUUUUAUCUUUACAGUCUCUCAGGAAGUUCAUCAUCAAAACCACAGACCACAGCACAAAAGGGCAAUCAUUUACUCACAGCGGGCGCUGUAUUACAGGCGCCGUUACCAGGCAAUGGAGACAUGCCCAUUCGUGAUAAAUUUUCCAUUCCUUCAGAAAGGCCAAGAAGAAAAUACCUGAUGGAGGGAUUUAUGUGGUUUCUGUAUUCUCUUGCUCUCUCUUCCUCUUUUCCUUUCUGUCUUCCGAAUUUCACAAAAGCCUUGGUCUGAUCUUGCAGUAAGGCUGGUUUUGUGGCAUCGCUGCUGAGCUGCACUGCUCCAGUGGGUGAGCGGAUUGUCCUUUGCCCAGGAGACAGGGAACACAAGGGAUAAAGGGAUUCCAUAGGUGCUCCCAAGCAGGAGAGGCCAGGAAGCAGCUCCCCUUCCAUAACAGCCUGAACAAACAAGAAAAACCGCAAAAAGAAAGAGGCUGAACAUGGAGGCUGGGCUAAAAAUCCUUUUUUUAUUCAGACACAGCCUGCCUCUGACGGCAAUUGUCGCAAUCGCCUAAGGACGACCCCCUCAGAGGAGCAAGAUUUUGCAGGAAUAAUCUAGAAAUUAAUGCAGUGCCCAGAACAUCGCAGCUUUUCUUUGCUCCUUCUUUACUUCUUCAAUGGCAAAAGCUGGAAACUUGGAGCCUUUGAGCAGUUGUAUUGCUGUCAAAAGGCCUCCAACGUGGAGGAUUUCUAAACCAAAAGUGACCUCCAGUGGUCACCCACAUUAUUUAUGGCUGAGGUCUGGUAUUUGUCUUCCCCUGGUUAGAGAUGAGGCGAUGUGGUAACUAACAGCCCGCAGCAACCGCGCUCAAUUAAAUUGGACACAAGCAUCCCUGAAAGCAGGACGGCGGGAGUGUUGGAGCAGACACACCUCCUGAUCGCUCGCUGGCCUCACAGCAGCCGGGCAGCAUGUUCCUCACCCUGCCAUACACUUCAACGAAACUUCUCAGCUCAUCCUACGCUGCCUACAUGCAUCCAUCUGAACGCAGGAGUACCUUUAAAA